CGGGACGGGUGAGUAACGCGUGGGUAACCUGCCUCAUACAGGGGGAUAGCAGCUGGAAACGGCUGGUAAUACCGCAUAAGCGCACAGUACCGCAUGGUACGGUGUGAAAAACUCCGGUGGUAUGAGAUGGACCCGCGUCUGAUUAGCUAGUUGGCGGGGUAACGGCUCACCAAGGCGACGAUCAGUAGCCGACCUGAGAGGGUGACCGGCCACAUUGGGACUGAGACACGGCCCAG
rnacentral:rRNA from 1 species